rnacentral:tRNA from 1 species
GCACGCCGAGCCAGCGGGUGACGGCAUCGGUCUGACGUACCGACUUCGCCGGGUUCGACUCCCGGGGCGUGCA